rnacentral:rRNA from 1 species
GUCUAUAGCCAUGCCACCCUGAACAAGCCCGAUGUCUGAUCUUGGAAGCUAAGAAGGGUUGAGCCUGGUUGGUACUUGGAUAGGAGACCACCUAGGAAGUCUAGGUGCUGUAGGCA